rnacentral:rRNA from 1 species
AUUGAACGCUGGCGGCAGGCCUAACACAUGCACGUCGAACGAGUGGCGGACGGGUGAGUAAUGUCUGGGAAACUGCCUGAUUGAGGGGGAUCACCACUGGAAACGGUAGCUAAUCCCGCAUACCAUCAUUUGUCCCCAGAUGGGAUUAUCUAGUCGGUGGGGUAACGGAUCACCAAGUCGACGAUCCCUAGCUGGUCGGAGAGGAUGACCAGCCACACUGGAACUGAGACACGGUCCAGACUCCUACGGGAGGCAGCAGUGGGGAAUAGUGCACAAUGGGCGCAAGCCUGAUGCAGGCAUGCCGCGUGUAUGAAGAAGGCCUGCGGGUUGUAAAGUACUUUCAGCGGGGAGGCGUUACCCGCAGAAGAAGCACCGGCUAACUCCGUGCCAGCAGCCGCGGUAAUUC